rnacentral:piRNA from 1 species
UCCAAGCAACCUACGGACACACCUU